rnacentral:sRNA from 1 species
UACGUCCGUCCCGUGGACGCCCCGACCAUACGGCCCCACCCCGGGCUACCCUGGCCGCGUGCGCCUUCCCAAGGGGGCGCAAAGCCGACAGCCGUCGCACUCCAGGGAGCCCUUACAUG